GGCAGCUUUUGUGGUGACUUUAUUUGAAGAUGCAUUGUACUACUAAUUUUCCUAGCUACUGAGUGGAUUCAUACUAUAUCGACCGACGACAGCCUAUCGUUCGUUGAUUGGGGUUUUGAAUUGACCACUACUACUAAUUUUUGGUGCCAACAAAAAUAGAAAGAAAGUGUAGAAUCUACUCCUACCAUGUCAAUGUUUAGUUCAACAACCCCAUCUCUUCAACGACGGACCAUUCCCAUUCCCAUUCCCAUUCCCAGUUGCAGAAACGUCUCAUCAUCCAUCAUUGCUCCUCCUGCUAAGACAUUAUUAUUAUUCUUCAAUCUUAGAAGAAGAUCAUAUGGUGCCCGCAAGAGGAUUAAUAAUAAUUCUUCAAUCUUAUUAACCCGCCGUCGCGUCAAACCCUUUUCCCCUGUCAUGGAAUGGCAGGAUUGCAUGGUUAAGAUGGAAAUUGACGUUCCUACUUCAGUUGCCUACAAUUGUUAUUCUGAUCGUGAAGCCAUUCCCCGUUGGAUGCCCUUCAUUUCAUCUGUAAAGAUUUUGGAAGAUAAGCCCGACUUAUCACGAUGGUCACUAAAGUAUAAAGCUUUUGGUCGUGAUAUUGAAUUCUCUUGGCUUGCUCGAAACAUGCAGCCCAUCCUGAAUCAGAAAAUUCACUGGAGAUCCCUCGAAGGUCUUCCUAACAGAGGAGCUGUGCGAUUUUUUCCAAAAGGUCCUUCAUCAUGUGUUGUAGAACUAACUGUUUCCUAUGAAGUUCCUCAGCUGUUGGCUCCAGUGGCAUCGGCACUGAAACCUUUUCUUGAGAGCUUACUUCUACGCGGUUUAGAACGGUUCGCAAAGUUUGCAAGAAGUAGGUCAGCAGACUCUACCAGGUGAUCUGUGAACUAUGGGGACUGCGCUCAUGGCUAAUGACCUUAACCGAUGUUGUUGCUAUGAUUGGACUUAGAGCACUGUUUGGAUGGUAACACAGUGAUUGAUGCAUGGAAACUUAUCCCAUCCAUUACUUUGAAUUGGUAUAGCAAAUCUGGACUAUUCUUUUUGUAAUAUUAAUAAUCGAGUAAAGUUAAAUGUUCCCUUCCAACCGUAUGAUGUUUGUCAAAGAGUCUAUAAAUCCAUUUCCCUCUCGUUAUAACUUAUAACCUAUAUGUUGUAAGUUAUCUUGAUUUCAUUCGACAUGAGAAAACUCAUA